ensembl:lncRNA
GUGGAACGCUCUUAUUGCUUCACCUGUGCAGCUGCCACCAAAGAGCUAUUCCUGAUCAUGAGCCUACAGCUUCCCUUUGAUGCUUCAGGUUCACCACCCAGCCCCUUUUCCACAGGACUGGAGCGUGAGCAGUGCCCAGGAUCUCAGGAGACCCCAGUCCAUCUGAGUGGUGACCAAGGCAAUCACUUGGCAAGGGCAGAGGUCACAGCCACAUUGGCUAUCACAGCCUCUUCAGCUGCAUGCAAGCUUUCAAUACAUCCCACCUGGAGCUUGGUGGCUCUCACUCCCAGUACUGAAGCCUUAACGAUAACUACGGCAAGUGGAGACAUACUGGAGAGAUUCUGGGAAAAUAUAUGGCAGUUCCUUUAGAAUAGUUGGAGUUGCAGAUAAUAGAAGUGUCCCUCAAAUCCUCUCUUGUCAAUAAGAGUGAAAGGACAGGCACAUCACUGCUGACUGCAAUUAUUCACAGACUUUCACCUCUCCUCCACAUGUCAAGUACUAUGAAGAAUUCCUCUGAAGUUAAUGGUCCUCUUCUCUUUUAUAAUAUUAAGCAUUAAAGCAGACCUAGAGCUAACAUAACAUAAUCAUCAAGCAGAUUAUUUUCUCCAGAUCCUUAGCAUUUCCCAAAGUUAUAUCAAGCAUUUUUAAUCCACGAAGAAUAAUUGCAGUAACUGAUACUGACAGAAAAUAUUGAGAGCAAGUUAUUUUGUGGCACUGAUUACAUCUAUAAUCAACAAGCACAUGUUCCCAAAGGUUUCAGGCACUGUCAUGUUAUGGUUAACUGAUGGCACACUCACACAAUUCUAAACUUCAUAAGUACCAGAACUGAAUCUUUGUGGUCUUCCUCUGUACCACUUCCGUCACCUCUGCAUCUUUCUUCUGCUGAGGGUCCCAGAACUGAACAUAGUACUGCAGGUGGGGUCUCACAAGGGAAGAACGGGGAGGAAAAGGCCUUGGUCCAGCCUGACCUUGAAUGUUUCCAAGAACCUGAAAAAACAGCAUCUCUCUUAAAUAUUCUCAAAUACUGAAACUUUAAAGGAAUACAGAUACUUUUAACUCUAUUUCUGUUAAUUCCACUGAUUUUUGUGUUCUUGUAACUGUUGUUUAAAUUGUAUUUAAUAUUGUUGGGUCCUGAACUACCUGUGGAGUUGUUUGCUUUCAUCUGGAUGAGACUCUGGGCAGCCUCAUCUGGUGAUUGGUGACCCUGCACAUAACAGGGAGGUUGGAACUAGAUGAUCAUUGUGGUCCUUUUCAACCCAGGCUAUUCUGUGAUCUGUAGAUCUUAACAUAAAAGAAAAAAAAGAAAAGAAAAGAAAUACAGCUGUUACUGGAUUUAGUUUAACUGAUCGUGAAUGUGUAUUGGCACAGUGCAAGGUUCAUUGACUAUUCAGACUUUUUCCUGAAACAGAAAAUUGGAUUUUUUUUCUCCCUCAGGCUAGGAGUUUUAUUGUGCAUGCUGGUGAAAAAAGUGUAACUGAUGUUCAGUGGUUAUGGUGUAUGUGCUCACAGGGCCUCUUCUUUCAAAGGGGAAAAAAAAAAAGCAUCAUUAAUUGGUUAAUCUUGUAUAAAUGACCAAGCUGUACUAUUUCUGUAGUUGCCUAAACAGGAGCUAAUGACAAGGCAUUUCAGUAUUUCUGGAGGAAUCAAUAGUUUUAAAGUAGAAAUCGUGUUUUUCUGCCAAAAUUAAUUAUUCUGCUGCUCUAGAGGUCAGGAUGUCAUCUGCAGUGCAGACUGUGAAAGAAACGAUCUUUUGGUGCAUUUGUUGAGUUACAGAGUUGGUCUAGAGCAAAUAUUAAGCAGACAAGUGAUUAAGAGGUUAAAAAGUAUAGAGAAGAAUACAGGGCAACAACUGUCCAACUUAAGAGAGAGACAGCAGAGCUAAAAAAGAGGCAAAAAGUGUUUGCUAUCAUAAGAAUAAUGAAACAAAAAUACAUCAAAUCCCAAGUGGUGUUUUUUCUGUAACUAGCCCACUAAAAAAGGGAUAAGGGUAAUGGAAACAGCUCACGUCCAGUGCUGUCCUCUAUCUCAUGUUGAACAAACCCCCCAGGCCUUCUCCACUCCUGGAUCUCACUUCUGCCCUGCUGGCCAGCACAAUAAUUCUGCUACCAACACCUGAGCAGCCCCCAGCAGUGUUGGUUACAAGAAUGUGGUGCCCAUCCUGGAUGGCAGCUUCUGCUCCAUGCUGUGAUUCUAUGUCCCUUAGUUACAGCCUGGAGUUAAAUCCCCCUGGCUUCAUAAUGGAGUUACCAUGGAAUAAAGGAAAGAGGACCCAAAACUGGGACUGCAUUGCACAGUAUGUGAAGGUUUUGUGGCUGAACUCUGCGUACUAUUUUCCCACGAACUACUGUUAAAAUAAAAGGUCUAAUGUAUCUAACUGCAGUGAUUUCCAGAGUCAGUGCCUACUCUAACUGGGAUUCUAAAUGCAUUCUUCUAUUUUAAAGUACUCUUCAAACUUCCUGUAAAUAAGAGUUUCCCUUGUCUCUAGGCAUGAUUUCCCAAGGUUUCACAGCUCUAAUUAUUAUGAACAAUAUCUCUGUGGUCUCCUGCUAAAUCUCUCAAAAAUAUAACACAAAAAAAAAAUCUAUUUUGAAAGUUUCUUUGAACUUCAUAAGUCAAUGAUUCCUUAUAUAACUGC